UGCUCGUCUGUGUUCCUUGUCGCACCAUAGCGCCGAGGGCAGCACGGGCUGCUCUCAAACACGAGGUUUAUUUUUAUAAGUUUACUAGAAGCUUUUAAAUUACCUGCAUUCAUUGUAAGGUAACCCUAGCCAUUUGUAGAAGAGGGAAAGAUUUGCCACGUAACGCCUUUCCUCUCAGCAGCUUCUCACCAGGAACACCAAAUCCUCAGCUUUAUUCAUAAUAGGAUGCUAAAAGUGGUUUGUUUUUUUUUUAAUAAAAUGUAAUUUUGCAUGGAAGUGGGUUUAAUUUUGCUUUAAUUAUACAAGCGAAACAAGAUCUGGAAAUGGCAUGUGUCCCAACAAACCAAAUUGCUAGGUAAAUUGGUUUUACUAUAAUUUGAUAACAAGAAAUUGCCUCUGAAGCUGAGAUCUUGCACGCCCUGUUGCUAAAACAGAUUAACACAAACUUUUACAGCUAAAUUAUAAACCUGUGAAAGGUUUACUUCCAACCAGAAAGGGCUAUUAAUAGCAUUGCAAGCAGUGGCGCUAGGAUAAUAUUAGUAACAACAUUUGUAUAUUGUUUUAUAGAUGCACCAGGUUGCUCUGUGUAUUUAUGGGAACGGCUAAAGUCGUCUCAGAAUUUUGGAUGUUGCUGAAGGGGAGGGUGCUGGCUCCAGUCCUGAUGGCAAGGAGAGUUUUCCAUGGCUCCGGUGACGGGUGGCGUGCCCUGUGUGUGGUUGAAGCAGUGCACCCAACACCCCCUGUUUACACCCCAGCACAGGCUCCGGCAGAAAGCAGACAACAGAUCCAGAAGGCUAUAAAAGGCACCUGAAAACCAAAAUUCUCUGCGUACAGGGAAGAGACUGUCCCAUCUCCUAACACUGUCCUUGUUCAGGAAGAAAACCCUUAUGUUCCUCCAUAAAAUUCCUGCAUGGUGAAAGGGAAAAUUUUCUCAAGAUCCCAGUCUCUGCUGGCUUCUGGAUUGUCAGAUGGAAUAUGAUGCAUGAUGUCCUAAAUGGGUUGAUUCCUGGUUACCUGAAGGAGAGAGACUGAUACUGCUGCUUGCAAGACUGUUGGAGGUAUCUGGGCUAAUAGACUCUUCAGUCACAAGAUGGUUGCCACAGAAGGAUCCAGGACUUUUCUUGAAAAUUAGUUUCCCCCAUCAGAUGAACUAAUUCCUGAAUCUCUGAAUGAACUGGGCAAAAUACUAAUGAUCUGGAGCCAAAACAAGAAGUUUCCAAAAAAGGACACAAGGACACAACAUAAAUAAUGACAGAAGAAAGUGAGGCUGAGAAGUUACUUGUCCUUAUGGCCCAGACAACUAUCAGCAGAGCCAGACCCAGAGUCCAGCUCCUAGACCUAGAUCUUAGCUUGUUGGACUGCGGGGCCACUGGAUGCCAACAGAUACCAUGCGGUCAUCUGGCAGGUGUGUCCAGGCUUGUGGAUUUGAAUUAGCUGCCCGUUACGGUGUAGGAGAUGGAUAAGGGGAAUGUUUGGUGGUGAUGCUGUGAUUCAGCAGCAGAGGGAAAUUUCUUGUGUCCCCUCCCAAAUACCUUGGGAACUCCA